rnacentral:lncRNA from 1 species
UUUGAUAUUGCAGAGGUCACACAUUUUCAAAAGUAUCCUGACAUCUUUUCCAAGAACGACACACACAUACACGAGGAUUCACGUCACUUUCAGAAAGGGCCCCACACAAAUACCCCUAGCGCUGCAGCCUCCUUCUCCCAAAAAACCAACUUCAAAACUUCCUUCUCCAUUAUAUAAUCAUGUAAAGGUAGAAUCCAUGAGAAUCGUUCACUGAACUUCCAUUAAUGCCACCUCAAAACAACCCCAUAAGACACCCCUAUUUCAGCUCCAAAACCUCACGUUUUUGCACACGAAACUAUCCACCAUACAGUCCCGAAUCGAUUCCAAAGAGCACCUAAAACCUCUGUCCGAAAUAGCUCCAAAAUGCAGAAGCGGGAGUUGCUCGAAUCCAUCCCCAAACUCGCUUAAAUACCACCAUUUUUUAGCCCAAAACCUCCAUUGAAGAGGUCCUGUCCAUCAAGCUUUUCCGGCGUGGUUUUUUUCGGUUGAGAUCUUGUUCGGCCCUAUCCGUUUUGAGUAUUAAGAUUGUCAAACAAUCAAG